CGGUGAGUCAGAGUGCCGGAGGGGAGCAACGGGAGGAGACGUGACGCAUAGCAAGUAAGACGUUUCUGUAACUGUUACUGAGAAUGUUGUUGAUGUUCGGCCGGCUACUUGCAAAUUAUUUUUUUUAUUUUAAAAUACAAAAUACAUGUAUUUUAAUUAAAUACAAUACUUUGGUCUUUAGGGUAUUUUGUAGUUGUAUUUUGUAAUUUAUGCCAAUCCUUGGCUGUGUCCUAUGUCCUAAGGAGAGGAUGUUUUGUUCUGGCAGGUGUCUGGUCCUGGUGGAUGUGCUGACCAGCAACACCUCAGUGCCCUGCUCCAGGAGCUCAUCCAGAUCCCAAGGCAGCUAGGAGAGGUGGCCGCCUUCGGAGGGAGCAACGUGGAGCCCAGCAUGGCCAGCUGCUUUCGCAUGGCUCAUGGGAAAACCUCCAUCCAGCUGCCCCAGUCCGUGGUGGGCUGCCCGUGCUGCAGUGAGUGGUCCAGGCAGAGAACGCCCAACACCAGGCCAAGUGCUCCGUGAACUCUAUUUCAACCAUAUAGAGAAUGUCAAUAAUGUUUGGGAUUUUAACUCCUUUCCCCUCAGAUACUGAAGCCUCAAGCAGUUCAAUGUGGACACUUGUCAGAGCUGCUUCCUGUCCUGGCGUACUACCAAGGGCAAGGCUUUAAUUUACCCCAUCAUGGAGUACUACAGUACACCCCAGUAAAGCGUAAAUCAUAGUCCACAGACGCUGAGAUGCAAUAGUCCGGUGUCCCAUCUGAGACCACCAAAGCGGGGGAUGCACAUCCCGAACGCGCACCUUUCCACAAUUCCUAACCAAUACGACUCCAGUAGCUGUCCUCUAUUCAUUUCAAUGUUUUGACAGUUGGAGAAAUUGUUGAGCUGUGCUGAGAAUUCGAAAAGUAUGAAAGCCAACGGUCCAAUGUUCUAGAACACUGCUGUGCGUACGCGUACACGCUUUGGACUCUGAUAAACCCAUAAGACUAAUUUCAUUAUGCCAUCAUUGUUUACUACACCCAAGCAUGAAUUCUAUAAUAUUUCCAUGGAAUUGAAAUGUAUGUUAUUUUCUGAUUUCUGAACAGACCACUUCAGGGGAGAGGAUGCGUGAUUUUGCCAAAACACUGAAGAACAAGUUCAGAUGUACAGUCUGUCUUGGGGGCAGGGAGUGAGGAUAAUUAGUCCUAAAGCCUGGGAGGUCAGAACAUCCAGACUGUCAGCACAGAUUGACACUCCUUAUCCCCGGCACUGUUAUGUUUAGCUCAGCCACGCAUCUGUCAGUUCCUUUACUUAAAUGUUGAAAAGUUAUCUGUAGUAGGCUAACUCCUUAAUUUUAAUUUGUACAUUAUACAUGCAUGCAGUCUUUAUAUGUCAUUAUAUUCUGCCCUCAGCAGCACUGCUCACGAUGUGCCUUUUCUCUGAAAUAAUCUUCUCCACACAGAUUAACAUGAUGCCACUAAUGAGUAUGGUGGAGUGGCGUGGCGUGACUCCCUUGUUUGGGCUUAAUCAUAUUAAAACAUUUGGUCUGGCGUGUC